rnacentral:misc_RNA from 1 species
CAGGCAGUAAUGACGCCUCUGUACGUGUGCGUGUGACACGCGUCCGCGAUCUGUCCGCUUCUGACAGGGGACAGGGUUUGAAUCAGUUUGAAUCUCUCGCCUCGAAAGCCGCGCCGCAGCUCGCGAGAUCAAUUCCUCGACUACUGUCGCGACGUCGCAUUCCCGCCCGUGCGAUGCUCCCGAUCCGGGGACGUCGCGUCGCCUGACACUCCGCGUGCGGUUUGAAUCUCGCAGCCGUUCGGGCUGUCGACUUAUGUGACCCCCGUGCGUGAGUACGACUUUCUCCAACCUCGUUUCGUUUCGCGCAACCGUCAACUGGACAGGAUCGCGAUCAUCGUCGUCGUCGUCGUCAUUGCCAGGAAUCACAGGAGGCCUACGCAGUUGAGCUUUUCGAUACAAAAUGGGUAGCAGCAGCCAGCUUUACAGUCUCUCCUGGGGAGAAUUCAGUUCCUCUCUGGUCUCUGCGGUACAGCUAUUGAGAGGACAUGGCGAUUUGGUGGAUGUUACCUUGGCUGCUGGUGGACGUAGCUUUCCUGCGCAUAAAAUUGUUCUCUGCGCAGCCAGUCCGUUUCUGUUGGAUCUGCUCAAGAGCACACCGUGCCAACAUCCAGUAGUUAUGCUGGCAGGAAUUGGAGCAGAUGAUUUGGAGUCUUUAUUAGAAUUUGUAUAUCGGGGAGAGGUAAGCGUCGAGCCAUCGCAGUUGCCUUCCUUACUUCAGGCCGCCCAUUGCUUGUGCAUCCAUGGAUUAACUCCACCAACUGUAGUAACAGAGAGUGGAGAAGAAGUUCCUGCAUCAGCGAUACCAACACCAAAUGAUGCUUUGUCGAAGGCGACACUCAACUCAUAUAAUCCACUGAAGCGGAGAAAAAAGAGGAGGAAAUCGUCCACAUCUUCUGGAAAAUGGCCCUGCACCAGUAACACUACUGAGACUAGCGAAAACAGAGUGGAUGAUAACAACAGAACAAUGCCUUACGAAAACAAGGAUGAUGAUGCUACAGAUCAGACUGAUGAUGCAGGAGACGGAUUGUCGAAGGCGCGCAGUCUGUCCGAUCAGCCGGCGUCGUGUCCGUUAUGCGGCGCGAUUCUACGCCAAUCGAGAAAUCUCAGAAGACAUUUGGAGCUUCUGCACUUUGGUCUGGGUAAUAGCAGCAAGUCCGGCAUACACGCGAGGCAUCGGCGAACGGACAGAACCAACGAUUUCGGUCUGUCUUCGCUAGCGUGCGUUCGUCCCACUGCCAGGAUAGACUCCCACCUCGCCGUGAGGUCCUCCGAGGCCUCAGACUUUUCCAUGAUGACGCCUUUAUCGAUCGCCUCGUCCGUCAGUUCCGCGUCGAGCGUCAGUCUUUCAGGAAACUUGAUAGGCCCGAAUUCAAGCCUGUUAGGUUCCAACGAUCAAAAUGGACAUCCGCUGCCAGGAUCCACUCCUGUCACGUGCAACGCGUCCAUGGUACCACCGACCAACGGGAUCUAUUCCUCGGACAGCGGUGCCAGCAUGUUGAGUUGUCUGCUACCAUCGUUGCCUACCUUGCCGCCCUUCUCCGCGUCUCACGAUGUAUUUCGACACGGCGAGAUGCUACGUGCGGGAAUCGCUUACCACGAUUCUUCUCGACAACACGCCAGGCACAUGCAGCGCACCGAUGUCACCUAACUUGAUGGUUCCCGGUGUCACAAUCGCGUCACAGAAGAAGCACGAGCGUGUAGCUUUGUGUUAUAGACGAAUCGAAGACAGCAUUAGAACAGAGUACUAAGUAGAAGAACAUCGAUCGAGCUUGAAUUCACACGAUUGUUCAAAUCUUGGAGAGCCACUUCCAUUAAUGUUCUUCAGUUACUGCCUUGAUAAACUCAAUUGAGUCUCACCUAGGAUCGAAGCUCGACCGCAACAAUGCCAGGCAACGGAGUUUUGCAGUCUCACGCUACUCGGCAUCUUUCAUAGGCGUACAAAGCUACCACGGGGACGUUGGAAACAAAGUAAAUCUGAUACGCCAAGCAACUCGAUUCCGCGCAUUGGUAAACCGCGAAACUUUAUUAGGUCAGGUCAGGUGCCGGCUUCGCUUGGGACACCGGUUCAAGGGACAAGCAAGCGUAUUUCUACCGGCACUUCCUUCAGACAGUUCGCGACAAAAAGAGAAUGAGAGAAAUACAAAGAGAAUUGUUAGAUUUUAGACACGUACCAAUUUG